GUAUCAGAAGCCUAGAGGGGAGGGGGAAGGAUACCUAUAGAGAAUAGGGGGAGGCCUGGGAAGGGAUUUCAGAGCUUAAGCAGGGUGAGGAGGACAUAAAUGAGUGGAUGAGAGGGGCAAGAGAUAUUCUAGAUGCAGAGUCUGAGCAACAUGAAGAAAGUAUCUAUAUAGGACAGCCUAGUGUGUGGUGUCAGAGCCUAAGCAGGGUGAAGAAUAUAUGAAUAUCUGUGCAGGGGAGGAUGGCUCAGGUUGGGAUGUUAGUGCCCAAGAGGUUACCCGGCAGGUAUAAAUAGUGUGUUCACUGGGCAAGAGAGGGGGAGCCCAGCACGGGGAGUUACAAUCCAAGCAGGGUGAGGAGGGCAUGUGAGGCCUUGGAGCCUGAGCUGAAUAAGGAGGGCAUCUGUGUAGAAGGGUUGCCUACGGUGGGAAAGUAGAAGACUGACUAAAGAGGGCAUUUCCGUAGAUAGGCAGCCUGGCAUGGGGUGUUGGAGUUCAAAUGGGGUAGGGAAGACAUCUAUCGGGGUUGAGGGAGCAGAAGCAAAGGGCAGUUUUAGGUAGGAUUCAAAAUCCUAGCAGGAUGAGCAAGAUAGGAGGCUAUCUACCUAGUAGGGCUGCCCAAAGUGGGGAGUAAGAAACCAAGUAGACUGGAGGGUAUUCACAGGAGAGCAGGAGGACAGCCCCAGGUGUCAAGAGCAUCCAUGUAGGAGGCAAGCUAUGAGAGGCCAAGUUGGGUAAUUAGGGUAUUAAUGUGUCAGAAAGCAGGAGGCAGUAGCAAUGGGAGAUUGGUUACAACAGGAGAUUGAUCAAAUAAGUAAACAUAGUAAGAUGAAAGGAAAUCAAGUUUCUCAAUAAGAUGAAAGGAAAUCAAGUUUGUCAAACAGUGAGUUACAAACAGAGAGAGAAAAGAAGAAGGAACCCUACGGUAUUGCAUUGCAACGGGAGGUACUGAUGUGAACUCAUCAGUCAAUAUGUACAGAUAGAAAAAUAUAGGUAUAAAUGUGUAUAUAUACCUGUGUGUGUGUGUACAGACAUAUAAAUAUACAUAUAUUCCCUAGCUUCUGUCCUCUGAAAGGUCCUAGGAGAAGCAGCACCCCAAAAGUAACCAGGGCUUUUCAGAGAAAUAGUAUCAGGGCUGGGACAGGCAAAAUACAAGAUGAACCUGGAAUGUCUUGUUUUGCUAAAGGUAAGAAAGUACUCAAAGAAUUACGGGGGCAUAUCAAAAGGACACAAAAGACAGCAUGGGUUGGGUGCGGUGGCUCAUGCCUGUAAUUCCAGCACUUUGGAAGGCCAAGGCAGGCAGAUCACCUGAGGUCACAAGUUCGAGAGCAGCCUGGCCAACAUGGCAAAACGUCGUCUCUAGUAAAAUACAAAAAUUAGCCAGGCAUGGUGGCACGUGCCUGUAAUCCCAGCUACUUGGGAGGCUGAGGCAGAAGAAUCUCUUGAACCCAGGAGGAGGAGGUUGCAGUGAGCCGAGGUCGCGCCACUGCACUCCAGCCUGAGCAACAGUGAGACUCCAUCUCAAAAAAAAAAAAAAAAAUUUAGCUGGGAGUGGUGGUGGGUGCCUAUAGCCCUAGCUGCUCAGGAGGCUGAGGCACAAGAAUUGCUUGAACCCAGGAGGAGGAGGCUGCAGUGAGCCAAGAUCGUACCACUGUACUCCAGCCUGGGUAACAGAGCAAGAUUCUGUCUCAAAAAAAAAAAAAAAAGGAAAAAGAAAACCAUAAAAGUCCAGGAAACACCAAGGAAUGAUUUCAGAUUCAAAGAAACUAAAGAGAUAUGACAACUAAAUGGACAUAUAAUUCUAAACUGGAUCCUUUUGCUAUACAGGAAAUUACUGGGACAAUUUGCAAAACCCAAAUAGGAUCUAAGGACAAGGUGAAAAAAAUGUAUUGAUGUUAAUUUUUAUUUUGAUAGCUAUAUUGUGGUUACAUAAGGGAAUAUUCUUAUUUGUUGGAAAUACCAAAGUAUUGGGAGGCAAUGAGGAAACAUGUCAGCAACUUAUUCUCAAAUGAUUCAGAAAAAAAGCAAUAAAUUAUUUGCACUAUAUUCACAACUCUUUUGUAGGUUCAAGAUUGUUCCAAAAAGUGCAUUCAGGCAUACAUUUCAUUAGGAAUUUAUUAAUUACUACGGAUUCAAAAAAUUCAGCUAUGUAACUGUAGCUUCAUAUUAUAAGAUCUCAAUUUGCAAAGAAAUGAAUCUAUCAGAGUAAACAAACUUAUUUCAUGUCUUCAUUUUUAGGUAUCUGGCAAUCAAAAACCAAUCUAGGGCCGAGCGUGGUGGCUCGUGCCUGUAAUCGCAGCAUUUUGGGAGGCAGAGCUGAAGGACUGCUUGAUCCCAGGAUGUCAAGGCUGUAGUGAGCUGUGAUUGUGCCACUACAUCCUAGGCUAGGUGACAGAGCAAGACCUUGUCUCAAAAGAAAAAAAAAAAAGAGAGAAAGAGAAGAAAAGAAAGAAAAGAGAGAAAAGACCAAUCUACCUUGUUCUCCCUCUCACUUUUGCUACACUUUCUGUUUAAAAUCAAACAAAACCAAAUAUUUUAGUUGAAAAAGGCAACAGAAUCUUGGUUACAACACAUACCAUGAGUCUUCUCUUGGUCAUAUAAUUACUUGUUUGACAUCUUAUUUGCCACAGUCACAGGGGCUAAGUAUUUUUGUCUAUGCCAGCUCCUCUUCACUAUCACCUUCAACCUGACAAAGCAGUAAUUAAACAUUCAUUCAACAUUUAUUUAGCACCUGCACUGAUCUAGGGACACAAUACAAAAGAAAGUCACCCUUAUUAAGCAGUUCACAGUCUAGAGAUAAUAAAAUGAGUCAAGUUUAAAAUAAUGCAGUAUGUGCUUUAAUAAAGUAUGAAGUGUUACACAACUGGAGAAGAGGGAACCUUUAAUGUUAUCUGUGGAGGAUCUGAGAAGGCAGCACAGAGGAUGUAACACCAGAAGUCAACCUUGAAUAUUGAAAUGGCUAUUUAGCAGACAGACUGGGGAAAAGGAAGGAGAAACUAUAAAAGCAAACCUGAACAAAAAGAGUAUUUUCAUCUCAGGUUAUUAGGUAACUCAGUUACUCAGAACACGGAAGUUACAAGCAGUAACAUGAGAUGAAACUACUAAAGGCAGGGUGAGGCCAGAUUAUGACAGGGCUUGUGUAUCAUGCUAAGCAGUAAGGGUUUUAUCCCUCAGCACACAGGGAGCCUUUGAGGGUUUUAAGCAAAGAAAUGAUAAACUCAAACAUAUAUUUGAGGAAGAUCAUCCUACCAGGAAUACAGAGAAUAGAUUAGGUCCUAGAGAUGGCGAUGAGUAAGAAGGUUUUUACAAUAAUAGCCUAAGCAAGAAAUAAUGAAAUCCUGAACCAAGGCAGUGGCAGUGAAAUAGUCAAUAGGCUACGAAUUUAAAGCUGUUUAAAUGGAUGAACUAAAUUGGAUCACUGGCUACGGUGGGGAAGGGAGAGGGAAAAAAAGGAGAGUUCCAAGUAGCACAUAGAACUCUGGCUUGGGAAAAUUGAUAAAAAGUGGUGCCAUUUCCUGUGAUAGAGAAUAUAGGAGUUAAGAAUAAACCUGGAAAGAGAAUUCAGUUUUAAAUGAUGAAUUUGGAUGCCUAUGGGACUUCCAAGUGAAUACAUAAACAGGAGAGAGGUCUAGCAAUUGAUGUUACUAAACAAAUAGCCUGCUUUACUUUUGUUUUUUAUAUCAAAUCUGUCCUAGAACUACAGUUUUGCCUUUUUUUUUUUUGAGACAGGAUUUCGCCCUGUCACCCAGUGACACGAUCACAGCUCACUGCAGCCUCAAGCUCCCGGGCCUAAACUGAUCCUCCUACCUCAGCCUCCCGAGUAGCUGGGACCACAGGUGUGUGCCACUAUGCCUAGCUAGGUUUUUGGUGUGUGUGUGUGUGUGUCUCUGUGUAUGUGCUUUAUAGAGACAGGGUCUCCUUUUGUUGUCCAGUCUGGUCUCCAAUUCUUGGGCUCAAGUGGUCCUCCUGCCUCAAUCUCCCAAAGUGCUGGGAUUAUAGGCAUGAACCACUGCACCUGGCCUAGAUUAAUUUAUUUAGAGUUAUUGCUUGCUUUUAAAAAUACACGUAAGAAAUAAAAAUUCAACUUGCCCAUGAUCUCAUCAAAGAUAACCAUUAAAACAAUGGUAUACUUAUGCUUCCUUUCCAUACUUUAAUGCAAAGUUUUUAAAAGUUGAAUAAUAUACAUAAACAAUAUCAAAUUUUCACUUGAAUAUAACAUUAAUUUCCUACAUGUACCAUCUUUUUGACACCCCUCAGGUUGUUACAAAUCAUCUUUGUAUCUAUUUCCUACUUCUCCAAAUGGGUUGAAAACCCUUCAUGGACCAAAACUAUGUCAUGUCUUCUCUGACUAAGGUUCGGCAGUACGCUACUUACAAGAGACACUCACUGUUUGUUGAUGAGGUUAUAAAAAUAUUAAGGAAAGCUACUGGAUAAUAAUUCUAAGUUGUAAAACAAGCUUCAAGAAAACUUCUAAUUUUAAUAUUAUUUCAGAAACACUGCUAAUAAAUAAGAGGUAAUAAAUGAAUAUAUCAGUGGUGAAGAAACAACAUUGUACCUGCUAUAAAAUGAACGACAGCUCAGUAAAUAUUCUCAUUCAUUUAUUCAUGUACUCAUUCACUCAAUAAAUAUUUAUGGACUGCCUGAUGUACACCAGGCUGGGGAUACAUCAACAACAAAACAGACAAAAAUAUGUCUUUAUGGACCUUCCAUUCUAAUGGGCUUAAAUUACAGUGACUGCUUGCUUGUCUGGUGCUAUAGUCUGAGUGUUAGUGUCCUGCCAAAAUUCAUGUUGGAACCUAACAUCCAAUGUAAUAGUGUUAAGAGGUGGGGCCUUUUAGGAAGUAAGUCAUGAGGGCUCUGCCCUCCCAAAAUGGAAUGAGUGCCCUUAUAAAAGAGAUUGAAGGACACUGCCUUGGCCCUUUCACCACAUGGGUACACAAUAAGAAAGCAUCAUCUUCAAAGCAGAGAGCAAACCCUCAGCAGACAUAUAAUCUGUUGGUGCCUUUAUCCUGGACUCCCCAGACUCCAUACUGCAGACUAUCAGCAAUACAUUUCUAUUGUUUAUAAAUUACCUUGCCUAAGGCAUUUUGUUAUAGCUGACAAACAGACUAAGACAUCUGCUAAAGAGAAAAGGAGACUCCAGUUUCCUCCAAUUUUCUACCCUUACUAAACUCACAUUUAAUUGUUACCAGUAAAAUAAGCUCAUUUCUGGAAUGUAAGCAAUGAAAAAUGUCAACAUACAUUCAUUUUAAAAUUUAGAACACAUACUUAAAACAGAAUUUUGCUGAGUGCUUAUAAAACCAAUACUGAAUAGAGAUCUGUUCCAUGGCUAUUAACAGCUAACCAUAUUAUAUAACCAUAUAUUUAAUAAUCAUUCCUUUCUAAACUAAUCAUGUCCUUGUAAACAUACAUAAUAAUCUAUCAAUGAAAAGAAACAAGCAGAAUUACAAUUUAUAUUAUUUUACAUAUAUUAUUUUGUUGUUGAUCUUGAAAGACAGUCUAAUAUUAAAUUCACAAGAUCAACAGCAUUUUCAAAAAUAAGAAAAAACUAAUUUUGUCACCAUUUGUUCAUUUCGUGUGCAUAGGUACACACACAGUAAAUCACAUGUUCACAGAAACCCGAGUCUGCUCCCAAAAAGCUUUCAGUCCAGUGAGGUUGACUGAAAGCACAUAAAUAGCCAAUCAAAACUGUAUCAAGACACCAGAGCUAUGAGGGAAAAAAGGUAGUAGGAGAGAAGAAAUAUAUAGAGGGCCAUGCAAGAAUGGUAUGAAUGUAAUGAAUGUAGUUUUAAGGGAUUAAUCUAAUCUAAAUUAAUCUAAAAUUCACAUUAAAAGCAAGAAUUUUAGAGGUAGAAGUGGUGAAAGUAUUUGGUGUAACCCUCAGUUUUUACGGAGAAGAAAUUAUGUUCCAAUUAGGUUACAACUUCCUUUGUAGAGCCAAGACUAGCUAAAGCUGGGUCCCAGGCAGGAGAAUAGCUGGCUGAAAGAUAAAUUCUUUCCCCAGCAUUCCUGUCUAUGCAAUUAGAGUAACACUGAGGUUAGGAAUGCCAUCUAUUUUACUUACUAUAUUAUUAUGCCUGGCACAUAAUGGGCAUUUCAAUAAUGUGCUUAAUAAAUAAACAAAUGAAUGAAUAAGCAAAUCAUCUACCUUAAGUGAUUCUACCCAAACAAUUCUAAAACAUAAAUUCCUGUUUUUAUACCAUAAUCUUAGAGAUGAAAAACAAAAAUAUUAGACAAACAAAAACCAAAAAAAACCCAUCUUGUUUUCCUUUCUGUCAUUACCAGAAUAUCCUACUACCUGAACUAAAAAUGUUAUCUUUCUAUGUUAUAUUUAAUCCAAAUACCCUGUCCCCUCACGUCCUAUCUUCCAACUUCCACCCCAUUAUCACCUAAAUCACCAAUUUUCUGAUUAACAAAAAUCACUUUUCAUAUCUCAGGGUCUUCACUUUCAGUUAUUUUUAAAGCCUUAAAAAGUUAGUUUUCUUUUUUUCUAUUUAUACGCACAAUUUUUUUCCCUUCUUUGACCCAACACUGAAGAACUCAACAAGACACUCGCUCUAUCUGUCUCUCUCUCUCUCUCUCUUCUUGUCUCACUCUGUUGUCCAGAUUGGAGUGCGGUGGCACAAUCAUUGCUCAUUGCAGCCUCAACCUCCCAGGCUCAAGUGAUCCUCACACUUCAAUGUCCCAAGUAUGCUGGGCCUACAGGCUCAUGCCACCAUGUCCAGCUAAUAUUUUCUUUUUUCUUUUUUUUUUUUUUUUUUUUUUCAGUAGAGACAGGGUCUCACCAUGUUGUCCAGGCUGGUCUUGAAUUCCUGGGCUCAAGCAAUUCUACCACCUUGGCCUCUCGAAGUGCCGGUAUUACAGGUGUGAGCUACUGCACCUGGUCCUACUUUGUCUUUUCUAUUCUACACAAAGAUGAUCACCCACAAGCAAGUAUUCAGACCUCAUACUUUGAGAUAUAAGCUGAUGUUUACAGAGAUCAAAAAUAAGUGUCUACAAUGAGUGGCAAUGAACAAAUGAUCAAAUUCAUUACUUCUGCCUCUUAAUUCAAUUUUUUCCAUUUUAACUUUGUUUCCCUUACUUUCCGUACAACUGCAGAAUGCCUCUAACUUAAGACUGGUUUUCAACAGGGAAUACCAGAAUUUCAUGUAGACAUAUGUAUAUUUUUUUUAACCUGAAUGAAGAUGCCUGGGAUUUCAUCACAGACCGACUACUGAAUAGGGGUUUACAGGGAAUAAGAUCACAGAAUGUAUAUGUGUAUAAAGCUUCACAAGUGAUUCUGGCUAACAGCCAUUACUCUGAAGCAUGAAAUGCAGCUGGAAUGAAAAUGGAUUGGCUUGUAUUUACUACCUCUUUAAGCAUUGCUAGUUAAUUCAUUUUUUUCUGAAGAGUCUAGGAAAGAACAGCAACCAAAGACCUGAACCACCUUCUUCUGCAGAUUACCUAAAUACUUUUUUUUUUUUUGAGGCGGAGUCUCACUCUGUUGCCCAGGCUGGAGUGCAGUGGCAUGAUCUUAGCUCACUGCAAGCUCUGCCUCCUGGGUUCACACU
rnacentral:lncRNA from 1 species